UUUGAUAAUUAGUUUAACUCAAAACAAAUGAUUUCGACUCAUUAAAUUAUGACUAUUUCAUAAUUAUCAAU
rnacentral:tRNA from 1 species